rnacentral:rRNA from 1 species
ACGGGCCCGCACAAGCAGCGGAGCGUGUGGUUUAAUUCGAUGUUACACGAAGAACCUUACCAGGGUUUGACAUGCAAGUGGUAGGAAGCCGAAAGGUGACCGACCCUUCGGGGAGCUUGCACAGGUGCUGCAUGGCUGUCGUCAGCUCGUGUCGUGAGAUGUUCGGUUAAGUCCGCUAACGAGCGCAACCCUCGCUGUGUGUUAUAUGUGUCACACGGGACUGCCGGUCUUAAGCCGGAGGAAGGUGAGGAUGAUGUCAAGUCAGCAUGACCUUUAUAUCCAGGGCUACACACACGCUACAAUGGUCUGUACAAUGGGUAGCCAAGCCGCGAGGCGGAGCCAAUCCUGAAAGCAGGCCUCAGUUCAGAUUGCAGUCUGCAACUCGACUGCAUGAAGCCGGAGUUGCUAGUAACCGCAGGUCAGCAAUACUGCGGUGAAUACGUUCCCGGGUCUU